AGCGAACGCUGGCGGCAGGCCUAACACAUGCAAGUCGAACGGACCCUUCGGGGUUAGUGGCGGACGGGUGAGUAACACGCGGGAACGUGCCUUUUGGUUCGGAAUAGCUCCUGGAAACGGGCGGUAAUGCCGAAUGUGCCCUUUGGGGGAAAGAUUUAUCGCCAUUAGAGCGGCCCGCGUCUGAUUAGCUAGUUGGUGAGGUAAAGGCUCACCAAGGCGACGAUCAGUAGCUGGUCUGAGAGGAUGACCAGCCACAUUGGGACUGAGACACGGCCCAAACUCCUACGGGAGGCAGCAGUGGGGAAUCUUGCGCAAUGGGCGAAAGCCUGACGCAGCCAUGCCGCGUGAAUGAUGAAGGUCUUAGGAUUGUAAAAUUCUUUCACCGGGGACGAUAAUGACGGUACCCGGAGAAGAAGCCCCGGCUAACUUCGUGCCAGCCGCCGCUGUAA
rnacentral:rRNA from 1 species